GAUGAACGCUAGCGGGAGGCUUAACACAUGCAAGUCGAGGGGCAGCAUAGGGUAGCAAUACUCUGAUGGCGACCGGCAAACGGGUGAGUAACGCGUAUGCAACCUACCCUGUACAGGGGGAUAACCCGGAGAAAUUCGGACUAAUAUCCCGUAAUAAUAUCCGGAGGCAUCUUUGGAUAUUUAAAGUUCCGACGGUACGGGAUGGGCAUGCGUAACAUUAGCUGGUUGGUAAGGUAACGGCUUACCAAGGCUAUGAUGUUUAGGGGUCCUGAGAGGGUGGUCCCCCACACUGGUACUGAGACACGGACCAGACUCCUACGGGAGGCAGCAGUGAGGAAUAUUGGUCAAUGGGCGCAAGCCUGAACCAGCCAUCCCGCGUGCAGGAAGACGGCCCUAUGGGUUGUAAACUGCUUUUCCAGGGAGAGAAACUUACGCACGUGUUGCGUGACUGACGGUACCCUGGGAAUAAGCAUCGGCUAACUCCGUGCCAGCAGCCGCGGUAAAUAGUGUGUGUAC
rnacentral:rRNA from 1 species